rnacentral:lncRNA from 10 species
AAAAUAUCAAUGCUAACAGAAGUUUGGAAGAAGUUGAUUCCCAUCUUCGUGGGUGACUUCAAGAUGCUCAGCACUUCAGUUGAGGAAUUAGCCACAGAUGUGGUAGAAAUAGCGAGAAAACUAGAAUUAGAAAUAGAGCCUAAAGAUGUGAUUUUGUUGCUGUGAGCAUACGAUAAAACUAAUGAAUAAGGAGUUGUUUCUUACAGAUGAGCAAAAAAAAUGGUUUCUUGAGAUGGAAUCUACUCAUGGUUAAAAUGCUACGAACAUUGUUAAAAUGACAAUGAAUGAUUUAGAAUAUUACAUAAACUAGUUGAUGAGACAGCAGCAGGGUUUAAAAGGAUUCCAAUUUUGAAAGAGUUUCUGUUAUGGAUAAAAUGUUAUCAAACAGCAUCUCAUGCUAUAGAGAAAUUUUUCGUGAAAGGAAGAGACAGUUAAUCUAGCAAACUUCAUUGUUGUCUUAUUUUAAGAAAUUGCCGCAGCCACCCCAGCCUUCAGUAGCCACCACCCUGAUUAGUCAGCAGCCAUCAGCUGAUAUCAAGAGCACAUUAAAUGUUAACACUGCGACUUGCAAGGACCCCCAGCUGGUGGAUCCCUGAGGACAAGGACAGAAGUUCACCAUGCACGGCCACUCUGCUUCAGGAAGAUGGCCAUGUGCAAGCUAGGAAGAAGACAGAACUCACCAGGGACUGAAGUGGCCAGUACUUUGAUCUUGGACUUCAAGCCUCCAGAUCUGUGAGAAAUAAAUUUUUGUUGUUUAAGCAACCCAGUCUGUGGUGUUUUGUUGCAGCAGCCGAAGUGAACUAAGACAAUACCCUAUGAGCUAAUACCAUUUUAGCAGUGAAGAAACUGAGGCUCAGGGAGCUUAGCAACUUUCUCAAAGUUUCUGUGUGCUAAGCUGUUUCCCUGCCCCUUUCUGUCUGAGGGGAAAUUGAAAUAUAAAGCAACAACCUGUUGCAGAAAUAUUUGAGUAAACAAACUUCAGAAAGAGUGUUAGAACCCAAACUAGCUUUCAAGUAGAAAAAUCAAGGUAUUCCUGGGUGCUGUUAGUGUGAAAAUACAGGAAAUGUCAUUGGACCCAUAGGUGGGAAUUAUGGGCAGGUCUCAUAGAACAGGCACCUAGAAGGUAGUCGGUAAUCAAGAAAACAUUUCUUUCCACGAGGCUGCACGAUCCCCCUCAUCUCUGUGUGUCUCUCAUCCUUUAUCGGCCUGCUUCCCUCUUCACCUGAUUCCUCUGCUUGUUCUUUUGGGGUGCAGCCCUACAAGGAACACCAACCUACAUUCUGCUUGUCUCCACUGAUCUGCUCUGUCUUUGAGUAUUUCCAGUUCUAGAAAUUGGUAGAAAGCCAGCUCAUAUGAGUGAGACCGCAUGUACCACAGGCGGCUGGCCAGCUACUUCUCUGGUUCCUUGUCAAAACUGUUGCAUACAUGUAGCUCAAUCUAUGAUCAUCUCUGCACAAACAAACAAACAAACAAACAAACAAAACCCAGCCCUGCACCCUUUCUGUGAAUGGGAAGCAAUGUACAGAACAUAUUAAGCCAAGAGGUAGGUAAGGCAGAAAAUUGAAAGAUGAUAUCUGUUAUUGAUUUGGUAUGAGUUAAAGGUACAUGGUUCUGUUUUAGAUAUUUUAUAAUAAUAAAAAUGAAAAAAGAGAAAGGAAUUGCCCCACAAUUACGUUUUCAAAAUAUGUUUAUUUUUUCCCCUAAUUUUUCUUGAGGUUAUUUAGAUAUUUCUUGACAAAUCUUCAUGGUAACAUAUGUGAAAGCAGACAUGUUUAUUUUCUUUGAUUUGGUGGAAUGAAUUAUCAAAAUUCUGGUUUUUAACAUUGUUAAAACUUCUGAGUAAAAAAUUUCUAACAAAUGAAGUGUUAAUACCAAAAAAAGAGUGUUAGCUAUGAGUGGUAUGUAAAUAAGUUGUCAAAUAUCAUCAAUAAUAAUUCUGAUCACCAUUUUCUUGGGUUUAUUAUAAUAAGACAAAUGUUGCUCCCAAAGAAACUGCUGAUUCUGGGGCAGGGACAAGAGCUCACCAAGAAAUCCAGCUACCAAAAUAUUUUGCCUGGUCACCCGGCCACAGGGGCUGAUGGCCAAAUCACAGACUUGAAACCUAAUGGCUGUGAGUGCACAUCAACGUGUUCAUCUGUCUGGUAUUAUUAUGUAGUUUUUGGAAAGCCGUGAUCUCUACGUCAGAUUGUUUUUUGCAAAAUAAGAAAUAAUACUGGGGUCUUGCCUCAAAAAAAGCAGUGAAGAUCAGCUCAUAGAAAUGUUUGAAAUCUAGGUAGUACUGCAGAUUUGUGGACGCUAGAGAAUGACUGUAAGAAGUGAUCUUAGGCGGGAAAAGCCCACUGUUAGGUCUUGGCUCAUGCUCCGCGUUGCCAAUUCCCAGCCUUGCAAUUUUGGACAGGUUAUUUAAUCUGUAAGUGUGCUUCCAUUUCAUCACAUAUAAAACAGAAAUAUGAAAACCUGCCUUUGAGCAUUUUCAUGGGGAUUAAAUGAGAUAAGUUCUGUCUGGCACAUACCAAUGCACAAAUAAGCUUAGCAAAUGUUUUUGUUUUUUAACUAGAUGAAGAUAAGUCUCUCCAGUGGUAUAUUUUUCUUUAGGAAAAAAAUAUCAGUACAUGCUUUUAACAUAAACCUGAAUCUAACUUCUAUAUAAUAAUGGACAAGAUAAGACUCCAGAAAUAUUUUAGAAUUUUCUUAGAUGAGCUCUCAAUCUGUGUUAAAACAGGUAAAACCUUUUACUAUAGACUGAGAAGGAAGAGAAAGGAAAAAAAAUGGCCUAUUUAAACAAUGAGGAAUAUAUAUAUAUAUAUUUGUCAGUAUCUUAAAGAGGCUUUUCUUAUACAAACAGGAGUAUUUGCUGGUCAGUGCCCAGAUUUUUUUUUCUUUUGAUGUACAUUAAAAAAAUUAAAAGAAAUAUUCUUAGAAAGACAUCUGUGCCUGGGGUGACUCACAUUUGAUCAAUCCCUGUGAACUGAGCUUUUCAGGGGAUGUGCAAUUAUUUGCUCAGUUAGGCUUAAACUUUUUAUUUAUCUAAUCACCCCUCUGUAAUGCUUUGAUCUGAACUUCCAAGGCCUAUUUUUCAACCACUUUAGCUACAUAUUUUAAGUCUUAUAGUCUAAUCAACCCUAGCCCAUAAAACAUGCAAUGUCCUGUUUAAUGCCUCCUAUUAGGAAAUCAGCUGCCACAUGGAUUUUGUAAUCUCCCACUUUGUGACUGGGUGAGCUGUUUGGAAGUGUCAUUAAUGUCAUUAUUCCAGGAGAGCGAGAGAGAGCCAGCAGCCAAGUGCAUCCCCUGUAUCCCAGCUGGCUUCUCCUUGCUAACGUUUGCCGAGUGACUCAGAGGUGAAUCAUCGGUUUCUGCAGGUGUAAGCUUGGGAGUCCUGGAAGUCUUCCACAUCCCAGUGGGGGCAAAUGUUUACCUCAUUAAUUCAUGGGAUUACUCAGUAGUUCCAGCCAACUUAAUUUGACUGUAUAAUAGUUAAAAAUAUGUGUGUGUAUGUGUGUGUGUGUGUGUGCAUAUUUACUUAUAGCCCAGGAGUGUGCUACAGCUUAGAAAUUUAAAGGUAAAACCUGUCAUUGAAUAAUUAGAAAAUGUUGUGUUUAUUUGAAACAUUUAGAAAAAAAAAUUCUAUGUAUGUCAUUUUACUGUAACAUAUACACUUGGUAAUGAUAUUUCUCACUUUUCUCUCUGUGCUUGGAUAUAUGUGAGGGACUGAGGUCCAUAACAGUUGGUGAAUUAGCCCACUCUAAUUCCUUUCCCAGCCUUGGGGCUUAUUUAGUUGAAUGUUGUCAGAAACCUUAGCCUUCAGAGACUUUUUUCUUUUCAAAGGACACUCAAUUUUUGGUUGUAAAAACAAAAAAGUAAAUAUAAAUAUAUUUCUUCACUUUAUUCAUCUCUGAACAAAUCUUGCUUUUACAUCUUAGUAGUGCCUAAUGAAGAUAACAACCAUCAACUAAAUUAGUAAGAUUUAAGAAUAUAAAAAUAUAGUUACAGCGCCAAUUUGCUGAAAAUUAAUGGUCAUUAAUCAAGACCUAUGAUGCAAUAGCUAAUAAUUGAUUUCCUCCUAUGUUCUAGCACAAUGUAAAAUGCUUUACAAAUACUAAUUUAUUUAAUUAUUAGAACACCCUACAACAUUGGUACUCUUAUUGUCUGCAUUUUACAGAUGAGAAACUCCAGGCAGAGAGAGGUUAGCCAGCUUGCCUAAGGUCACACACAGAUAAUACAUGAUGAAGCCGGCAUUUAAAUCCAGACAGUCUGACCUUAGAACCUGAAUUAUAAAACACUAUGUUAUUAUGGUCUAAUGACAAAUUUUUAAAAAACACAGAAGAAUCUAUGCAUGUAAAUGAAUCCAGUCCAUCUUAAAGUAGCCACCUAUGUAUGCUCUAUACUUAUUUCAAAUUUUGCUGUGGCUUAACACUUCCAGAACUCUCUCUUUUCUUUCAUUUCUAAAAAAAUUCUUGUGGAAACUAUGCCUUGUUGGUCUAAAUAUCACCAGUAAAAGCUUCACUCUUUGAAGUUGAAUUUGAUUUUGGAAAUAGUUGAAAGUGAUUCAAAACUCAGGUUGGUGAAGAGAGGAGGAAUCAAGUUUGGUAAGAUCACUAUAAGUUAAACUGUCUCUAAAUAUAAUUUUCAAGCAGGGAUUCUAGAAUUCCAAAAAUAUUUUGUGUAAUGGUAGCAUCAUUAAAAUAAAUGGAAAGCCUGCAAAGGUCAUUCUGAAGAGCGUUAGAAAGACAGAGAACAGUAGCAUAGAAGUUUCUGCUACAGUGAUUCAUCCUCUAAACAUAUGAAACCAUCCUAUUAGGUCACAAUUCAAUAGAUGCUAUUUGACUACCUGACCUGUUAGAAGCCCCUUUCAAUUCUUCUGUAUCCAAAUUUAUAUAGGGGACAUUAUCGGUCAAGACCCUGGUGAGAGAGUGACACAAAAUGGGUAAUUGAGGAGAGUUAAAUAAAGAAACAGUUUACAGGGUUAUAAGCAGGAUUUGUGGAAACCAAUAACAGAAAGUGCAAAUCCCUGGAUAGGCAGCAUGGAGGCACCAUCAUGCCCCUCAGCCUGAAGGGGCGCAAGGAGAGGAGCAGGGGCAAGAACCAGGGAGGGCUGCUGCUGUGAACAGGGCUGCAUGCAAGGGCCUGCAUUGGGGGAGGCAGCCAGCCCAUGUCAACCAAACGUAGGGGGGAGUCAGCUCAGAGCAAAUACCCCAUCUCACUCUCCUCCUGCCCUCUGAACUCCUGCUACUGCCCCACAGACCAAACCCAACCAGAACACACAGCAAAGAGCCAGCCUGUUGUCACAUGCCACAGAGAUUACCUUUUGGGAGCACACAGUGGGGUCAAGCCUGCCUUCUCUCUGGUUCUCACCUUUCCUAGAGGAGAGGAACUGACGCAUGGUAAAGACAUUUCAUAUACAAAUUUCAGUUACCCAACUGGCCUAGGAAAGGGAGGAGAGGAAGAAUCUGACAUUUAUUGACAGUUUUUACAUUUAGUGAGUACUUACUAUGUACCCAAUGUGCCAGGUGUUUUACUUAUGUUAAAAAUGAAGAUGCAUUAUGUGAAGAGAAUUUCACUUUACUUCUGUGGUUUCCCUCCCCUCACAAUUACAUUCUAAUUAUGAGAAAACAUCAGAUAAACCUUAUCUCUAUUGAGGGGCAUUCAAUAAAAUAUCUGAGCAGUAUUCCUCAAAACUGUUAAGGUCUUCAAAAAUAAAGAAUUCCGAGAAACUAUCACAACCAAUGGGAGCCUCAGGAGACAUGACCAACAAAUAUAAUAUGGUAUCCCUGAUGGGAUCCUGGAAAAGAAAACAGACAUUCGGUAAAAACUAUGGAAAUCUGGGCCGGGCGUGGUGGCUUACACCUGUAAUCCCAGCACUUUGGGGGGCCGAGGCAGGUGGAUCACCUGAGGUUUGGGAGUUCGAGGCCAGCCUGACCAACAUGGAGAAACCCCGUCUCUACUAAAAAUACAAAAUUAGCCUGGCGUGGUGGUGCAUGCCUGUAAUCCCAGCUACUCGGGAGGCUGGAGCAGAAGAAUCACUUGAACCGGGGAGGUGGGGGUUGUGGUGAGCCGAGAUCACACCAUUGCACUCUAGCCUGGGCAACAAGAGCGAACUCCAUCUCAAAAAGAAAAACAAAAAAACAAAACAAAACAAAAACUAUGGAAAUCUGAGUAAAGUGUGGGCUUUAGUUAAUAACAAUGUAUCAGUAUUGGUUGAUUAAUUGUGACAACUGUAUGUACUAAUGUAAGAUGUUAAUAAUGGUGUGGGGUGUAUGGAAACUCUCUUAUCUUUGCAAUAUUUCUGUAAAUCUAGAA